CCGGAGUGGAUAGGAAACCUGUCCUCGCUUCGAAGUUUGCAGACUGACGGUUGUGAUAAAUUGACAUGUUUGCCAUCAGGGUUGCAAUUCCUUACAAACCUCCAAAUUCUAAAAAUCUGGAAUUGGCAAAGUCUAACGGCUCUGCCGGAGUGGAUAGGAAACCUCUCCUCACUUCGAUAUUUGGAAAUUUACGAAUGUCCUCAAUUGGAGUGUUUGCCAUCAGGGUUGCAACUCCUAACAAAUCUCCAAAGUCUAACAAUCAUACGAUGCCCCCAAUUAGAGAUGCGAUGCGAGAAGGAGAAAGGCGAGGAUUGGCACUACAUAUCACGCAUCCCAGAUAUCCAGAUUUACUAGACUGUCCCCAUUUAAGAUUGAGUGCGAUGGAGCCACACAUGGGCAUCAAACACCGGAGACAAGUCAGGAGCUCAUGAUAAUCAUUAUCUAAGGCUAAUGCUACCUUGAAUGCUUGCAUGGUUGAAGUUACACUGUAAAUGAUCAGUUCAAGUCUAAGGAUUAGAGAUAUGUUUAAGGAUGAAAGUGGUUAUUGAAGGAGGGAAUUCUUGGCUAUUACAAAUGAUGUCAAGAUUUUCUUGGCCUUUGGAAAGUGCAUUCUUUCCUCGAAGCCAAGCUCUAUUUUGAAUGAGUUAAGAUAGCUUGAAUUUUGUUAAAGAAAGAACCAAGCUAUAAACUGGGCAUGCAGCUUAUGGGAGGGGAAAGGAGUGGAUGAUCAGGAGGGACCCCUGAACUAGUGUUGAUCUACAUGACAGUCCAUAAAUGUGAGUGAGCUGCAUCAUUCUUCCAUGAAGCUUUCCUCUACUCCCACUCAUAACAGUAAAGGCAAAAUGAACAAUGCGAAAGUUAACUUCUUGGUCAGUUAUCAUUUGCAAAAUAUCAAAAGUUGAUAAUACAAGGAAUUCUAAGUGGACUUGCUCAUGUGUGGUGGAUGUAGGUUGGUCGUAGCUCGCCUGCCAACUUACGGUAUAUGUUAUAGACCUGGGCAUUCAUCUGCUGAUAAUAGGCAAAAACUAUGACAUGAUGUUUGUGAGCUACAUCAGGCAUCCAGCUCUCUGUUCUAAUAUUAAAGGAAUGGGCCAAAAGAGGGAAGCAAUGAUUGACUGUGGACAGCCAGCAUCCCCACGAUGGAGAAUGACCAUAUAAAGAUCUUUCUUCAUUGAAGAAAACUCUCUUGAGUUGCAUUGGUGUUGAUAUAUCAUCAUGCAGGAACCGGACACAUAGAAUUCCUAAGAUAAGAAGCAACAAUAGCUGGUGAAUGCCAACACUAAGGAUAGAAGCAUCUAUGAACAAGCUUGUCUUCUUUCAGCGAUUUGAGUAGUCCUUAAAAGAUAUUCAGGGAUUAACUACCCCAGAAAGUGCAAAAAGGAAUGACGAAAUUCUGAAAAUAAGAUCAAGAUUGUGCUUUGUUGACCAUCAGGAGUAUACAUGUGUUGGUGUGUUUUAUAUAGUCCGGUUGCUUCUUAUAUUCUCUCAUGAUUCCUUGCCUAAUGUCGUGGUUGUGUGGAUCUCUUAAUUGGCAAUUCUGCAAAAAUCAUUCAGAAGGCAGGAUCACAAGAUUAAUGUAAGACUUGAAACACAUGUUGGUGAUCCAAGCCCUUGAACACACUGGUGUCAUGAUGAAUGUGUCUUCACCUACUAUCAGUUUUGUCCAUUCAUCAAGUGAGCCACACUUCUAUCGAGAAAAUGGAUGCUUAAAAGAUCGAUAAGAUGAUAACCAAU